rnacentral:tRNA from 1 species
GCCUGGAUAGCUCAAUUGGUUGAGCAUCUGACUUUGGUUCAGGUCGUGAUCUUGCAGUUCGUGAGUUCAAGCCCUGCAUCUGGCU